CCAUUUCCUCUCCUGACCCCCCCAAACCCCUCUGGGACCCCCCUGACCCCCAUUGUCUCUCCGGGCUGCCUCUGGGCUCUCCCUUCGCGCCUUGGCGCGGGCUGCCCGGGCGGGGGCUGGGGGCGGCCCUGGUGGCCUUGGGGACCCCCCCGGGCCCCUCGGGGGAGCUGCGCCUCUACCGGGGCCGGACCUUGCUCUGCACCCUCAGAACGCAGGAGGUGGUGACCGGGCUGUGCUUCGGGCGCUACGGGCGGGAGGAGAACACGCUGCUGAGCACCGGGCACGGGGGCGCUCUGUCCAUCCGGAUGCUUCGGCGCCGCGCGGAUUUGGGGGGGCGCGGCGGGGCUGGGGGGGCGGGGCGAGACCCCCCGCGCCCCUCCCCCGCCUGCCCCUCCCCCCCCGCACGCGGCUCUUCGUGGAUCGGGCCCUGAGGGAGCGCGAGGACGCCCCCCGGAUGCACGGGCGUUUCCAGCAGGAUUUGGGGGGGCUGCGCCUCGGGGCCGCGCGGGGCCUGGCCCGAGCCCUGGGGGGGGGCGCCGCCCCCAAAGGGGGGGACCCCCCCCACCCCUGACGGCCACCGUGAGUCCGGGGGGACCCCAAAACAAUGGGGGGAGGGGAGCCUGAAAUUGGGGGGUUGGGUGGGGGGGCGCUAAAGGGUCCUGUAUGGG
rnacentral:lncRNA from 1 species